rnacentral:rRNA from 1 species
CCUACGGGUGGCAGCAGUAGGGAAUAUUCCACAAUGGGCGCAAGCCUGAUCGAGCAACGCCGCGUGGGUGAAGAAGGUCUUCGGAUCGUAACACCCUGUUGUUAGAGAAGAAAGUGCGUGAGAGUAACUGUUCACGUUUCGACGGUAUCUAACCAGAAAGCCACGGCUAACUACGUGCCAGCAGCCGCGGUAAGACGUAGGUGGCAAGCGUUAUCCGGAAUUAGUGGGCGUAAAGGGAAUGCAGGCGGUCUUUUAAGUCGGAUGUGAAAGCCUUCGGCUUAACCGGAGUAGUGCAUUGGAAACUGGGAGACUUGAGUGCAGAAGAGGAGAGUGGAACUCCAGGUGUAGCGGUGAAAUGCGUAGAUAUAUGGAAGAACACCAGUGGCGAAGGCGGCUCUCUGGUCUGUAACUGACGCUGAGGUUCGAAAGCGUGGGUAGCAAACAGGAUUAGAUACCCCUGUAGUC